rnacentral:rRNA from 6 species
UACAACUUUCAACAAUGGAUCUCUUGGCUCUGGCAUCGAUGAAGAACGCAGCGAAAUGCGAUAAGUAGUGUGAAUUGCAGAAUUCAGUGAAUCAUCGAAUCUUUGAACGCACAUUGCGCCCCUUGGUAUUCCAUGGGGCAUGCCUGUUCGAGCGUCA